rnacentral:rRNA from 1 species
UACGUAGGGUCCGAGCGUUGUCCGGAAUUACUGGGCGUAAAGGGCUCGUAGGCGGCCAACUAAGUCAGACGUGAAAUCCCCAGGCUUAACCUGGGAACUGCGUCUGAUACUGGAUGGCUUGAAUUCGGGAGAGGGAUGCAGAAUUCCAGGUGUAGCGGUGAAAUGCGUAGAUAUCUGGAGGAAUACCGGUGGCGAAGGCGGCAUCCUGGACCGACAUUGACGCUGAUGAGCGAAAGCUAGGGGAGCAAACGGG